GGGGAAAGGUUCCAUGUGAACAGCAGUUGGACAUGGGUUAGUCGAUCCUAAGGCAUAGGGAAGUUCCGUUUUAAAGGUGCCCUCGUGCACCGUAUGCCGAAAGGGAAGCCGGUUAACAUUCCGGCACCUAGAUGUGGAUUCUCCACGGCAACGUAACUGAACGCGGAGACGUCGGCGGGGGUCCUGGGAAGAGUUCUCUUUUCUUCUUGACAGCCUAUCACCCUGAAAUCGGUUUGUCCGGAGCUAGGGUUCAAUGACUGGUAGAGCUCGGCACCUCUGUCGGGUCCGGUGCGUUCUCGACAGCCCUUGAAAAUCCAAGGGAAUGAAUAAUUUUCACGCCUGGUCGUACUCAUAACCGCAGCAGGUCUCCAAGGUGAACAGCCUCUAGUUGAUAGAACAAUGUAGAUAAGGGAA
rnacentral:rRNA from 1 species